UACAGAGGGUGCAAGCGUUGUCCGGAAUCACUGGGCGUAAAGGGCGCGUAGGCGGCGCGGGCAGUCAACGGUGAAAGCUUGGGGCUCAACCCCGAGUCGGCCGUCGAUACUCCCGGGCUGGAGCACUGUAGAGGCAGGUGGAAUUCCGGGUGUAGCGGUGGAAUGCGUAGAGAUCCGGAAGAACACCGGUGGCGAAGGCAGCUCGCUGGGACGGUACUGACGCUGAGGCGCGAAAGCGUGGGGAGCAAACAGG
rnacentral:rRNA from 1 species